ensembl:lncRNA
UUCAUUCUAUCCUCUUUGAUCAUUCAAAAUAGUUCAUCUACAUCUUUUUUACUUUCAUAUUCUAGUUGGUGCCUCUUUACAUUGCUCAGACAAGUGAAACACAGAUAAUAUUUUAAAAAUUAUUUCUGUGCUUGGUGUGGUCUAAAUAUUCCAUGAAUUGUGGGACAGUCUUUCUUUCAGAAAUAUUCAGAACACAUCUGUUCUCUGGUGUCCGAUGACAUGGUCCUCAGAUUUUGGUCUUGGUUUCUACCAGUAUUUCCACGUUGUUGUCUCCACAAUAAAAGAAAUACAUUUUCACAGUGCAAGUAUACAGCUCUUCUGGCUAUAUAAAACAAGUGGAAGGGAUUUCCUUCUGAAUGAGUCUGUUUGUCUACAUGAAGUGGUACUACAUAGUGGUGUUAGGUUCUCC